rnacentral:rRNA from 1 species
UUCGGUCAGCUGACGAGUGGCGAACGGGUGAGUAACACGUGGAGACCUAUCCUAGGGUACGGGAUAACAGUUAGAAAUGACUGCUAAUACCGUAUACGUCCUAAGGGAGAAAGAUUUAUUGCCCUUGGAGGGGUCCGCGUUGGAUUAGCUAGUAGGUGGGGUAACGGCUCACCUAGGCGAUGAUCCAUAGCUGUUCUUAGAGGAAGAUCAGCCACACUGGGACUGAGACACGGCCCAGACUCCUACGGGAGGCAGCAGUGGGGAAUAUUGCGCAAUGGGGGCAACCCUGACGCAGCGAUGCCGCGUGAGUGAAGAAGGCCUUAGGGUUGUAAAGCUCUUUCAGUAGGGAAGAUUGUGACGGUACCUACAGAAGAAGCUCCGGCUAACUCCGUGCCAGCAGCCGCGGUAAUACGGAGGGGGCGAGCGUUGUUCGGAAUUAUUGGGCGUAAAGAGCAUGUAGGCGGUUUGAUAAG